AACCUCCGCAAUGUGAGAAAUCGCGACGGGGGGAUCCCAAGUGCCAUUCUUAACGGGAUGGCUUUUCAUUAGUGUAAAGAGCUUUUGGAAUAAGGGCUGGGCAAGACCGGUGCCAGCCGCCGCGGUAACACCGGCAGCUCUAGUGGUAGCAGUUUUUAUUGGGCCUAAAGCGUCCGUAGCCGGUUUAAUAAGUCUCUGGUGAAAUCCUGUAGCUUAACUAUGGGAAUUGCUGGAGAUACUAUUAGACUUGAGACCGGGAGAGGUUAGAGGUACUCCCAGGGUAGAGGUGAAAUUCUGUAAUCCUGGGAGGACCGCCUGUUGCGAAGGCGUCUAACUGGAACGGUUCUGACGGUGAGGGACGAAAGUUAGGGGCGCGAACCGGAUUAGAUACCCGGGUAGUCCUAACCGUAAACGAUGCGGACUUGGUGUUGGGAUGGCUUUGAGCUGCUCCGGUGCCGAAGGGAAGCUGUUAAGUCCGCCGCCUGGGAAGUACGGUCGCAAGACUGAAACUUAAAGGAAUU
rnacentral:rRNA from 1 species